rnacentral:SRP_RNA from 10 species
GCUGGGUGUGGUGGUGUGUGCCUGUAAUCCCAGCUACUGGGGAGGCUGAGGCACGAGAAUCACUUAAACCCAGGAGGUGGAGGUUGCAGUGAGUGGAGAUCGCGCCACUGCACUCCAGCCUGGCGACAGAGCAAGACUCUGGAUUUUCUUUUUUUUUUUUUGAGACGGAGUCUCGCUCUGUCGCCCAGGCUGGAGUGCAGUGGCACGAUCUCCGCUCACUGCAAGCUCUGCCUCCUGGGUUCACGCCAUUCUCCUGCCU